rnacentral:misc_RNA from 1 species
UCUCCGUUGGUGAACCAGCGGAGGGAUCAUUACCGAUUGCUAAAUAAUAAACCUUCGUGGACCUAUAUCUGUUGUUUCGGCGGCUAGCGCUCGGGAGAGCUCGCCGGUAAUAUCAGUAUCUCUGUUUGAACCCGACGAUACUUCUGAGUGUUCUUAGCGAACAGAUAAAACUUUUAACAACGGAUCUCUUGGCUCUA